ACAGUAUAGUGCAGAGUGAUACAUACGUUUGAGUAAUAUUACUGAAAAAGAUAUUCGCGACAUAUCAUACAAAAAUUUAUUAGUUUUAAAAUAUUUUAUUCAUACCCGUCCAAUGCAAUGUAUGCAACGUGCCAAAUG